rnacentral:lncRNA from 1 species
CUGAGAUGCAUUUACAGAACCUUCUUUGUUUGCAGCUUUAAAUCUGAAUUGCUCUUGUCAUUUGUCUUCUUUCCUGCCAAGCUGAGACAAUGCAUUUUUGCUCUACCCAUUGGCCAUGUGAUUCUGUUCCUUUUGGUACGUCAUAUUCUGCACCGAGUUCUGGUAGCUCAGGCAAUUCUGUGCUUUCUUGUAUUCUUUAUUAUGCAGCCAUUUUUGGCAAGAAUCCUUCAAGAACAGGAGAAAUAUUUUUCUUAUGGACAUCAAACAGUGAGCAUCUGAAGCAAGGCCUGCUGUCUUUUCCAAAAUGACUAAAUCCUGGAUGUGUUUGAUUGAAGCUUGUGUCACUCUGCUAGCUAGGUGAAUUGUUGCUGACUGAUUUUAUCAGUGAAUUCUAGAUAGGAUCCCUAUUUUUUCAGCUACAUCGAUGAGCAACAAAAUGUUACUGCGGUAGAGAAAGUCAUCAAAAUAACCACAGAAAUUUCUUCGAUUAGAAAAUACAUGAUAAACCCAGUACAAAGCACGUAAGGUGCUGGACUUCAGUUUUAGGAUGAAGCUGGAAGAAAUCCUCAGGGAUCUCCUUUCUUGUUAUUAUUCAUCUACUUUUCCUUCAUGUUCAGGAAGAGGUGAUAACAGGUGCAUCUCGAUGAGAUGAGACCCAGCAAAAGAAAAGAAACCUUAACCUGGGAUCGAAAAAAAGCAUUUGAAAUAAAAUCAAUCAUCUUAGAAUCAGGGCGUGGCAAAGGAACACUCAGGACUGUGGGUAGUGGUAGGACACACUCACAUGUCUCACACAGAUGUGCAAAGGAAAUAGAGUUUGUUUCUUAAAACUUACGCGAUCUUCCUUACCGACCGCACUCUCCUGGAUGGUAGUAGUUAGGGAAAGACGCGGAAACCAACUUUAAACUUGCCAAUUAACGCUAUUCCAGAACCUUGGGAUUUAAAUAGUCGCUCUCGGAUGACUUAGUUUCUUUUGGGUAAGUGUUUAGUCGUUUAUAUUUCCACCUCAUGCCCCUCCCCCUCUAGGAUGGCCCCUGGAUAGAUCAGG